CCUACGGGUGGCUGCAGUGAGGAAUAUUGGUCAAUGGGCGGAAGCCUGAACCAGCCAAGUCGCGUGAGGGAUGAAGGUUCUAUGGAUCGUAAAACGCAGUUAUAAGGGAAAAAAGUGUGGGACGUGUCCUAUUUUGUAUGUACCUUAUGAAUAAGGAACGGGUAACUCCGUGCCAGCAGCCGCGGUAAUACGGAGGAUCCGAGCGUUAUCCGGAUUUAUUGGGUUUAAAGGGUGCGUAGGCGGCCUGUUAAGUCAGCGGUGAAAGUCUGUGGCUGAACCCUAGAAUUGCCGUUGAAACUGGGGGGCUUGAGUAUGUUUGAGGCAGGCGGACUGCGUGGUGUAGCGGUGAAAUGCUUAGAUAUCACGCAGAACCCCGAUUGCGAAGGCAGCCUGCCAAGCCAUGACUGACGCUGAUGCACGAAAGCGUGGGGAUCAAACAGGAUUAGAUACCCGGGUAGUC
rnacentral:rRNA from 1 species